CGCGGAGGGAGGCGCGUGUCGCGUCCCGUGUACCACCACGCUGCAGUGUAUCGAAACAAGGCGGACGCACGCCCGCGCGCCACGGCCCCGGGAACGUGCCGGCACUGGACCGUGGGUGGGUGCAGUGUUCAGGAUGGGCUGGUGUGCGAGGGGAGAGCUGAGUGACAAGGUAACAGUGAGGGUCUUCGUUCUUCCUGAAAGCUUCAAUCCAAGGAAGAUGUCAGUGGCCUUAACGGAAAAAGCCUGUUAGAAAAUUCAUAGAGUGUAGUAAAUUGAAUAGAAGUGGCUACAGGAAACAGUAAUUACAAGAUGACAAGAACACCAGUGAUUUAAAUGUAAUUAAAUAACCUCAACAACAAACCCCGUGAACAUAAUCUAAGGCAAAUGCAGUACUUGAAUUAGAUUUGCUUUUUUUUUUUGUAAGCCUGACAAUGGUACAAUUCAAGUGUGGAUCUUGUAAGAUUCUGGAGAAUAUUUGGGAAAACAACUCUUGAUCUUUCUUUUUUUACGGAGCAACAUGUUUACUCUGUUGGACAAAAUUGUCCGGUAACUGAAUAACAAUAUAACGUAGGCUGUUAAAAACAAAUUGGCUUAAGAUGUUAAAAAAAAAAAUUGCAUUCACGUAUGUGAUCAAUAAGGCCACUGGCAGGCAGAACGACGUGGUCGAGUGUCACAACAGGCUCAUUGAGAAACAGUUCAGGCAAUUUUCUUUGGUAUGUAUGUUUGUCUGGACUAUAAUUAAAGUACAACACCAGUCCUCUGACAAUCCAAAUAGAAAGCAAACAACUUAAAAUUUCUUCAAAUGGUUCUCCUGUGCUUUGAGCUCAACAUGUCACCGUGCUGUAUUUCCUAAUACAACAUGGCUAUAAGGUUAGUGCAUCCCUCAAAUGAAGAGGAUCGCUGACAAGAGUUCAUCUGCCAGCUACUCACACUUACUUCUCUGUGACUCUCUUCUGACUGCUGCACUUCAGAUGGAUCAUUUCCCACAAAUAGUCAGCUACACAGAUAACACGAUACGCACUAAGGCACAAAAACGAACUUCAUGGCAAAGACUGAAUGGCAGCAUUCCCACUACCCUUAGUUCCACAAAGUGUAUGUCCUGGCCAUGCUCUUGGCUGAUGCAGAUACUGUUCAAUACUCAGCAUCAGACUGUUUUACACACUUGUUUAUUUAAAUAUAUACUCCAAGAUUGGAAUGUACAAUUCAGACACAAACCAUCUAUUAGUACAAAAGUUCAGUUUGGUCAAGCCACACUCCAAAUGACAUCUUUUAUACACAUACACAACCACCCACCCACACGCACUCAUUCAUUCUGUUGUGGUUCUUUUACAAAGUGACCAACCCAAAAAGUAACAAUUGUUUGUGUGCUACAGAAAACCUCAGUGCUUCAGGACUAAAUGAAUUAAAGAAAAGAUUAAAUAAUUCAGUGCACAGAAGAAGAAUAAAUCUCCUUCACCUCUACUCCCGAAAAUCCUUUAACUUUGGUUCUCAUUAUAAGCACAACGUGGAACUGCAGUCAUAUGAUUUACUCCUUCAUCUCCAGUAUGUUCAUAAAGGUCAUUAUUCAAAAUAAAAAAAAGGUUAAAGCAGAACCUUCAUUCAAGAUUACUUAGUAUUAUGAAAGUGAUAACAAAUCCUUGUCCGCCGGAUUACAAACAAACAACACUGUGAAGAUUUUCUAACAGCAUUUUAGAAACAUUGGAAAAUAUAAUGAAUUCCUCAGGUUUGUAGAGUUGUUUGUGUCCUUAUCUUAAAUAUAUGAUCAUUUCAUAUAUAUCAUUCCUAUUUAGACUUUGCAUAUAACAUAAGUUGUCCUACUGCUGUCAGACAAAAAAAUAAUUCAAUAAUAUCUUGUAGAGUUCAAAGAAACC